AAUGUGUACUUUCGGAGAUGACGAUUGUAGAUCAGAGUUAAAAAUCAAAGUAAUUAACAUCAGUUUUAUUUAAAAUCAUUUUUUCCUCCUAAGUAUUUUUCCUAUCUUUGUAAACAUGGCUGAUAAAAAACGUUGCAGUCUGUCCGAGCGGAAUAUAAGACGAGUGUUAUGGAAAUUAUCCGUAUUACCGGAACGGAACACAUUGAAAUACCAUCGGAAAUGUUACUAAAUUCG